CUACAAGCCGUGAGAGCCUUAUCCACUUCGGUGGAGGGGUGAUUGCGUGCCUUUUGAAGAAUGAGCCUGCGAGUUAGCGGUACGUGGCGAGGUUAACCCGUGUGGGGUAGCCGUAGCGAAAGCGAGUCCGAACAGGGCGACAUAGUCGCGUGCCCUAGACCCGAAGCCGAGUGAUCUACCCAUGGCCAGGUUGAAGCGCGGGUAAGACCGCGUGGAGGACCGAACCCACCAGGGUUGAAAACCUGGGGGAUGAGCUGUGGGUAGGGGUGAAAGGCCAAUCAAACUCGGUGAUAGCUGGUUCUCCCCGAAAUGCAUUUAGGUGCAGCGUCACGUGUUUCUUGCCGGAGGUAGAGCACUGGAUGGCCGAUGGGCCCCACAAGGUUACUGACGUCAACCAAACUCCGAAUGCCGGUAAGUGAGAGCGUGGCAGUGAGACUGCGGGCGAUAAGGUUCGUAGUCGAGAGGGAAACAGCCCAGAUCAUCGGCUAAGGCCCCUAAGCGUGUGCUAAGUGGAAAAGGAUGUGGGAUCGCAGAGACAACCAGGAGGUUGGCUUAGAAGCAGCCACCCUUGAAAGAGUGCGUAAUAGCUCACUGGUCAAGUGGUUCCGCGCCGACAAUGUAGCGGGGCUCAAGCACACCGCCGAAGCCGUGGCAUUCACACUUUUCCCGUCGCAGGUCUUGAAUCUGCGGCCAGGUGUGUGGAUGGGUAGGGGAGCGUCGUGUGGCGGUCGAAGCGGCGGAGUGAUCCAGCCGUGGACGCCACA
rnacentral:rRNA from 1 species